rnacentral:rRNA from 1 species
GACGAACGCUGGCGGCGUGCUUAACACAUGCAAGUCGAACGGAAAGGCCCUGCUUUUGUGGGGUGCUCGAGUGGCGAACGGGUGAGUAACACGCGAGUAACCUGCCCUUGACUUUGGGAUAACUUCAGGAAACUGGGGCUAAUACCGGAUAGGAGCUCCUGCUGCAUGGUGGGGGUUGGAAAGUUUCGGCGGUUGGGGAUGGACUCGCGGCUUAUCAGCUUGUUGGUGGGGUAGUGGCUUACCAAGGCUUUGACGGGUAGCCGGCCUGAGAGGGUGACCGGCCACAUUGGGACUGAGAUACGGCCCAGACUCCCACGGGAGGCAGCAGUGGGGAAUAUUGCACAAUGGGCGGAAGCCUGAUGCAGCAACGCCGCGUGCGGGAUGACGGCCUUCGGGUUGUAAACCGCUUUCGCCUGUGACGAAGCGUGAGUGACGGUAAUGGGUAAAGAAGCACCGGCUAACUACGUG